CAAAAAUGAUUGCCCGUCGUUAAAACAUUUUGUCCCGUCAAUUCUGUUAUCCAAUACGAUGUCGCUUGCUCCAAAAAUCGACGAAAUCGCUUAUACCAUCAAAACCGUUGAUGCCGAUAUUGCCCUAUUCACUGAAACUUGGUUGCGUGAUACCGUUCCUGAUAUUUCUAUUAAUAUCAAACAUUACCAACUUUAUAGAAGAGACCGUGC